GACGAACGCUGGCGGCGUGCCUAAUACAUGCAAGUCGAGCGGAGUUAGUGGAAAGCUUGCUUUUGACUAGCUUAGCGGCGGACGGGUGAGUAACACGUAGGCAACCUGCCCGUAAGACCGGGAUAACUACCGGAAACGGUAGCUAAUACCGGAUAAUUUAUCUUUUCGCAUGGAGAGGUAAUGAAAGGCGGAGCAAUCUGUCACUUACGGAUGGGCCUGCGGCGCAUUAGCUAGUAGGUAGGGUAACGGCCUACCUAGGCGACGAUGCGUAGCCGACCUGUGAGGGUGACAGGCCACACUGGGACUGAGACACGGCCCAGACUCCUACGGGAGGCAGCAGUAGGGAAUCUUCCGCAAUGGACGAAAGUCUGACGGAGCAACGCCGCGUGAGUGAAGAAGGUUUUCGGAUCGUAAAGCUCUGUUGCCAGGGAAGAACGUCUUCUGGAGUAACUGCCAGGAGAGUGACGGUACCUGAGAAGAAAGCCCCGGCUAACUACGUGCCAGCCGCCGCGGUAA
rnacentral:rRNA from 1 species